UACGAAGGGGGCGAGCGUUGUUCGGAAUUACUGGGCGUAAAGGGCGCGUAGGCGGCCAUCUUUGUCGGGUGUGAAAGCCCUGGGCUCAACCCAGGAAUUGCACUUGGGACGGGGUGGCUAGAGUUCGGGAGAGGAGAGUGGAAUUCCCAGUGUAGAGGUGAAAUUCGUAGAUAUUGGGAAGAACACCGGUGGCGAAGGCGGCUAUCUGGACCGUAACUGACGCUGAGGCGCGAAAGCGUGGGGAGCAAACAGG
rnacentral:rRNA from 1 species